GACAGAGGGUGCAAACGUUGCUCGGAAUCAUUGGGCGUAAAGGGCGCGUAGGCGGCCGACCAAGUCGGAGGUGAAAUCCCUCGGCUCAACUGAGGAACUGCCACCGAUACUGUUCGGCUUGAGUCCCGGAGAGGGUAGUGGAAUUCCGAGUGUAGCGGUGAAAUGCGUAGAGACUCGGAAGAACACCAGUGGCGAAGGCGGCUACCUGGACGGGCACUGACGCUGAAGCGCGAAAGCUAGGGGAGCAAACAGG
rnacentral:rRNA from 1 species